rnacentral:rRNA from 1 species
UCGCUCCUACCGAUUGAGUGGUCCGGUGAAUCUUUCGGACUGCAACGUAGUCUCGUGCUGCGUAGCGGAAAGUCAGGUAAAUCUUAUCACUUAGAGGAAGGUG